CCUACGUGCGGCAGCAGUGAGGAAUAUUGGUCAAUGGACGCAAGUCUGAACCAGCCAUGCCGCGUGCAUGAAGACGGCUCUAUGAGUUGUAAACUGCUUUUGUACGAGGGUAAACGCCGCUACGCGUCUCUGUCUGAAAGUAUCGUACGAAUAAGGAUCGGCUAACUCCGGACCAGCAGCCUCGGUCAUACGGAGGAUUCAAGCGUUAUCCGGUUUUAUUGGGUUAAAGGGGUGGGUAGGCGGUCGGAUAAGUUAGAGGUAAAAUCCCGAGGCUCAACUUCGGAAUUGACUCUGAUACUGUUCGGCUAGAGAGUAGUUGCGGUAGGCGAAAUGUAUGGUGUAGCGGUGAAAUGCUUAGAGAUCAUACAGAACACCGAUUGCGAAGGCAGCUUACCAAGCUACUUCUGACGUGGAGGCACGAAAGCGUGGGAGCAAACAGGAUUAGAUACCCCAGUAGUC
rnacentral:rRNA from 1 species